UAACUUGUGUGUAAGUGUAUGGAUCUUUAUGAAAUUGUACCACAAGGUUCCAUAUCACAAAGGGAAAGCUGGAAUUGAGUUUGGGGGUAAUUGCACAAAACGUUUAGGAAUAAGGGGCCAAAAAUAAGCAUUUUUCUAGUUUCCAGACAAUAACUUGUGUUCAAGUGUAUGGGUCUCUCUGAAAUUGUACUGCAAGGUACCAUACCACAAAGGGAAGGCUGGGAUUGACUUUGGGGGUAAUUGCCCAAAAGGUUUAGGAAUAAGGGGCCAAAAAUAAGCAUUUUUCUAGUUUCAGGACAAUAACUUGUGUGUAAGUGUAUGGAUCUUUAUGAAAUUGUACCACAAGGUUCCAUAUCACAAAGGGAAUGCUGGGAUUGAUUUUGGGGGUAAUUGCCUCAAAAUUUUAGGAAUUAGGGGCCAAAAAAGGGGCAAAAAACAGGCAUUUUUCUAGUUUAAUGACAAUAACUUGUGUGUAAGUGUAUGGAUCUUUCUGAAAUUGUACUACAAGGUUCCAUAUCACAAAGGGAAAGCUGGAAUUGAGUUUGGGGGUAAUUGCCCAAAACGUUUAGGAAUAAGGGGCCAAAAAUAAGCAUUUUUCUAGUUUCCAGACAAUAACUUGUGUUCAAGUGUAUGGAUCUGUCUGAAAUUGUACUGCAAGGUACCAUACCACAAAGGGAAGGCUGGGAUUGACUUUGGGGGUAAUUGACUCAAAAUUUUAGGAAUUAGGGGCAAAAAAACAAGCAUUUUUCUAGUUUCAGGACAAUAACUUGUGUGUAAGUGUAUGGAUCUUUAUGAAAUUGCACUACAAG